rnacentral:rRNA from 1 species
UUGGAGGGCAAGUCUGGUGCCAGCAGCCGCGGUAAUUCCAGCUCCAAUAGCGUAUAUUAAAGUUGUUGCAGUUAAAAAGCUCGUAGUUGAAUUUCGGAGUUUGUCGGUUGGUCGGGCUUCACUGUCCGCACUGGCCUGAUGGAUUCCUACCUUCUGAAUAACCAGCAUGCUAUUAAGUUAGUGCGUUGGGGAAGCAGAGCUAUUACCUUGAAAAAAUUAGAGUGCUUAAAGCAGGCUUAUGCUUGAAUAGAUUAGCAUGGAAUAAUAAAAUAGGACGGCAUGGUUCUAUUUUGUUGGUUUCUAGGAUCACCGUAAUGAUUAAUAGGGAUAGUUGGGGGCAUUAGUAUUCAAUUGUCAGAGGUGAAAUUCUUGGAUUUAUUGAAGACUAACUUCUGCGAAAGCAUUUGCCAAGGAUGUUUUCAUUAAUCAAGAACGAAAGUUAGGGGAUCGAAGACGAUCAGAUACCGUCGUAGUCUUAACCAUAAACUAUGCCGACUAGGGAUCGGGCGAUGUUAAUUUUUUAAUGACUCGUUCGGCGCCUUACGGGAAA